AGCCCUGAGUAUCCUGGUCUCCUCUCAAAGCCUGUCUUGCACUCUCGAGGCCUGGCUCUGUGGUUCCACGCACGGGCACCAGAGGGCGGUAUGGAGCUUGGUGGCUCUCAGCCACGGGGCUCUGUGAGCAGUUGCUUUGUGACCCUGGCGCACUCAGGUUGCUGGCCAGGUCACAGGCCCCCACAGAAGGGCUCUGGCGAGCCCCUAAAAGCGUACCUCUGUGGCCCCGGAUCCUGCUUGUGAGAAAUAGAAGUCCGGGUGUCCAUUUUCAGCAUGUAGUAUUCAGCCUUAUUGGGAAGUAAGAUCAAAUUGUAGCCAUUUUAACUAUAGCCCUUCCCUUUGCCCACUCCCAAUUUCAAUGAGCCAUUUUCAGAUUGUGACCCCAGCUCCUCCUGUCAGGGCCAGGGGCAGCGCUGCGCGGUGGCUUGCUGGCCGGGUGCCCUGCCCGCCCACCUCGCAGCCUGUGUGGGUUUCUGGCAGCUCCACUUGGUACGUCCAACACUGCCACCUGCUGGAGACCUGCUUCAGGCCACCCCACGGCUCUGCGGCAGCGUCCUUUAAUAACUGACACAAAUUCACUGCACCAAGGGGAUCCACCCACUUCAGGCAAACUGACUGAGUCGUGCCACCCUGGCUAGAAUCCAGUUCUAAAACCUACAAAGACCCCUCCUGCCUGUUUGCCUGUGACCUCCACACACGACUGUUUGGGUGAGGACCAGCCGCCAGCUGCGGCCUCCGUGUGGCAUGGCACGUCCUGCCGGGUGCUUCCCCCAGGUGGGGAGUUCCCCAGCCUCGCCUGCCCAGGGCGCACCACUGGUCCCGCCUGGGCGUCCCCUCCUCCCGGUUUCCCAGCCCCACAGCAGCCACGCCCUGUCCCAGCUGCUCAGGUGGACACCACACUGGGUUCUCCUGGUUUUUCUUUCCUUUGUCACAACCGAAAUCUAGUCCCUCGGGCAAUUCCGUCCCUGCUUUUGCUUCGACCUCUCUGGUACCGUCUCCCUUUGCCCUCGCUGGACUCUGGCAGCAGAGUCCACCCUCCUGCAGAGGGGGAGCCUGCUACUCAGCCCCGGUGUGCCAGGUGUGGGGGUGGCUGGGGCACCGAGAGUGGGUUGCCCAAUGCAGGGCACCUGUCCAACGGCGUGGGUCAGAAUGGCUGGAGCAGGGUGCCCUGAGCCAACACACCUUUUUACAUCUUUCAGUUACUGUUUCAAAUGUUCAGUUACCAAAGCAUCACCGCUGCCUGUCCCUGGGCCCCCCUGCCCCCUGCACCGUCCUCCUUACAUCGGGGUCUCAGGCUGCCUGAGUGUUACAGGCUGAGUGACCCUGCUAACCCACGGCUCAGGUGCAGCCCAUCCAGAGCCCGCUGAGCUGAGCGGAGGGAGGUGACCUGGUCACUGAGAGGAGAUGCAGGGAAUGUGGCCAGGCUGGCCAGCGACUUCACACUGUCCGUCUCCAGAACCACCAGAGUAGACUCCUGUUGUCGCAGUCCCCAGGGUUCUGGCCAGGACAUGAGCACGGGAGGGAACCAGAGUCGUUUGGGAGCCGAGGUCACCAGCUGGGGUCCUGGGCAGCUGAGGUCCUGGGCAGCUGUGGUCCUGGGCAGCUGUGGUCUUGGCUGCGGACAUCUGGUUUGUUGUUUUGGUGGUGCUGACAGAUGUGCCCAGUCCUCGCUGUGGGCGGAGGGACACCCGCCUCUCCAUUCACACUCUGUGCUCUGUUGGCCGGGACGCUGAGUGGACCCCGAAACGGCACUUGCUCGAGCCCAUUUUCCAAUGGACGGAGUGACCUUCAACAGAGAUGGAGGUCACUAAACCACCCAGUGGCCUCCCCUCAACUCUCAAUGGACAUUCUUCUCCACCCUGAGCUCCCGGGCAUGGUCUGUCACCACUGUGACCUGAUGUCCACCAGCCACCGAGAGCAUCCCGUCGUAAACACGGAGGAACCAGCUGAUGUGACAUUAGGAUGACUGGUCCUGUCCGUGGGCACCACUGGGUGGGGUGCGCUGGGGUGGGAUUGGAGUGGGUCUCCCAAGCCUUCAUUGUUGACACUUAUUCUUGUUUAAUGUUUUAAUUGGCACAUCACAUCCUAUGUAAUGGUGGGAGUCAUUGUCACAGACUCAGACAUGGAUACGACGUAAUCUGGCCAAUGGCCUUCCCUAGCACUUCCCUGUCCCUCUUCGCCUCCCUCCCUGGUCUGUGUUGGAUUCAAUCCUGUCGUGAGACAUUAACUGACUGUGGGGUUUAGAGGUGGGGCCUUCGGAUCCAAGUCCACAGCCCUUGACGGAGCCCUGGAGGCUAGGAGAAGAGGGAGAGAGACGAGACCCCUCUCCACACCUGACGAGUGAGAAGGACAUUUCAGAAAGAGGAAUAAAGGCAGACUGAGUGACUGGAA